AGUGAACGCUGGCGGUAGGCCUAACACAUGCAAGUCGAACGGCGGCACAGUAAGUGCUUGCUCUGACGGGUGGCGAGUGGCGUACGGGUGAGGAAUACAACGGAAUCUACAUUUUCGUGGGGGAUAACGAAGGGAUACUUACGAUCAUACCGCAUACGACCUACGGGUGAAAGCAGGGAAUCUUCGGACUCUGCGCGAUAGAAUGAGCCGAUGUCGGAUUAGCUAGUUGGCGGGGGAAAGGCCCACCAAGGCGACGAUCCGUAGCUGGUCUGAGAGGAUGAUCAGCCACACUGGAACUGAGACACGGUCCAGACUCCUACGGGAGGAAGCAGUGGGGAAUAUUGGACAAUGGGCGCAAGCCUGAUCCAGCCAUACCGCGUGGGUGAAGAAGGCCUUCGGGUUGUAAAGCCCUUUUGUUGGGAAAGAAAAGCAGCAGGUUAAUACCCCGCUGUUCUGACGGUACCCAAAGAAUAAGCACCGGCUAACUUCGUG
rnacentral:rRNA from 1 species